ensembl:lncRNA
AUGUACCCAGUUACUCUGAUCAAAUGCCACAUAUCACACUAUAAGACACUCCCACCUGCAUCUCUUUGUCUCUGUAACUUCACUGGCAGUUAUGUGUUCGACUCUGACUUUCUCAACAUGGACAUCACAAAACACGGUCUCUGCAGUGUGCUACUACUUCUGCUCUUGAUGAAAGGUCUGACUGAUGGAAGUGACGUCAAACAGACUGACAUACUGUGGAAAGAGAAGGGUGACAGCGCAACAAUGAACUGCAGUCACACCAAGGCUUAUAACUUUUUCGAGAUGUACUGGUACAGACAGCUUCCAGGGGAAACAAUGGAAUUCACAGUGUUCACACUACUCGGCAAUCAAAAUCACGACUUUGGAAAUUUCAGCGAAGAGAAAUUCUCAGCGACCAAACCUGACUCUUACACUGGGACAUUCACAGUGAAGAAUGUGGAGCCAGGAGAUGAAGGCUUGUAUUUCUGUGCUGUGAGUCGACACAGUGAUACAGACACAUGAGAGCGCUGAACAAAAACCUCAGUGCUCAGGAGUAGAAUAUACGGCAUGAGUAGAGUGAACAUAUGAACUCAUUUAAUCAUUUUUUUUAGCUAAAAUGCCAAACAUUCACAUGUUUCAUAUUCCUAAAUGUGAGGAUUUGAUGCUCUUUUUUGUCAUGUAUGACCACAGAUGAAGAGUCCUCGGGUUUCGGACUGAUGGUUGAACAAAUGUGGCUUUUUGAAAACGUUAAUUUGGGCUCUGGGAAAUUGUGAUGAGCACUUUUCGCUGUUUUUUUUUUUGAUGAUUAAACGAUUAAUUGUGAAAAUAAAUGGCUGUGAGAAUGAAUUAAAUACCACACAAGCUCGAGAAAGACAUGUUACUCGGGAGGAGAUCAGUGCGCAGAAUAAAGUGACACUCCCACAAACUGCAGCACUGAACUAACUAUAAGACACAAAAUGGCAAAACGGCAAAAUGGAAAAGCUACUGUAAGAGUCCAGCUCUGUUUGUGAGUACAGUAUUUUUCAACUCAACAAAUAAAAUGAGUAUGAAGACCUUCACAUCCACUGACUACAGCAUGAAGAUAACACUCCUCCCUCCCUGCUGAUGAAGAUGCAGUGAUGAUGAAGACCGCUCUCUGACACCUCCCUCUUCAUUGUAGCGAUGCAACCUAAGCGCCAGGAAGAAAAUCUAAAUGCUGUAAACAUGAUCCUCGCCGUCUUCAUAUUUAGUAUUCUUCAUCUUCCAGGAGGUAAAGGUGAGAACACAUAACACUCCAGAAAGAGUAAAACUCGAUGUUAACGAUUCCUGUGUUUAAAAUCCUGUCUGCUUCUUCCACAGGUGCCUCCGACGACAAAAGUGUCUCCCAAAAUCCUCCUUUCAUCAUCAAGAGAACUGGCGAAUCUGUUGUCCGUGGGAUCAACUGUUCGCACAAAAUACAAAACUAUGACGGCAUUCUCUGGUACAAGCAAGAUGAGCACAAAGCUCUGAAGCUGCUGGGACUGCUGAACGUGAAGACCCCAUACCCCGAGGAGGACGUGAAGGGAAAGAUCAGCUUCGAUGGAGAAGGCAGCAAACAAUCCAGCUUCUCCAUUUCUGAUCUGGCAUUAAGCGACAGCGGUGUGUAUUUCUGUGCUGCUAGUAGGCACAGUGCUGCAGACUCCCCACAAGUCAGUACAAAAACUCUCUAUAUGUUCAGGCUGCUGAGCACCUGCAGCCA